GGGAGGAAGCUGCGGUGGCUCGGGGGGAGCUCUAGUGGAGACGUGGAGCAGAGGCGCGGUGGGGAGAGCGAAUACGGUCUAUUUGCAGUUUUGGGGAUUGAAUGGUUUGGGGAGAAAAUAUAGUUGUUUUGGAGUUUAUGUCUCACAAAAAGAAAACCGCCUAAUCGGCAAGACCACCCAGACGGACGCCCAGGCAGCCCAGUCGGACGCCCAGACCGCCUAGGCAGCCGCCUAAUUCCCCGCCUAAGUCCACUGAUCAACCCUUACUCACCUCGGUCUGCUGCCGCCCAGUGCCUAGGCGGCCUCUUUUAGAACACUGAUUAUAACUAAUUUUUUAUUUAAUGGGUGGA
rnacentral:lncRNA from 1 species